AGCAAGUUUGGGCCUUAAGCCCAAAAUCCAAACACGAGCCUCAGUAAUGCGUCAGGGUCAUGAAUGAAACGCUUCUCCAUUCGUGCUCUCUGAUCCUCACCCUCUCAUCUCACAAAUUCAAUCAAAACACAAACAUAAAAUUGAAUCUGCUCGAGGUUAACUCAUCAAGAUCUUGAGUACAUCAAUCGUAUUCAUCACUCGCGUUCGAAAUCGAUCAAAAAUGAAUCACAAUUAGCGCAUCAAAGUGAAUCGCGACAUACAACGAAUCAAGGAUUGCAAUUGAGUCAAGAACAUGGAAGAAAGCUUACCGUAUUUGAACUCUGGCGCGCUGAUUCUCCGGAUAAUCAACAUGGCAAUGUGCAUGGUCUGAAGUAGGGUCGUGGAUUAUUGUAUCAGUUUGAAGGGUAAUGAUUCAAAUUCUAUGUGUUCACUUGCUUGGGAUGUUUAGAUGUGGAGACAUGGAAAUGCUUGUAGGUUCAGAGUUGGUAACAGUCAUGUAUUUGGCAUGCAUGUGUUGUAUGGCAAUUGAAUUGAAUUAGAAUAUUUGAAUGGAAAGUGUUGAAUGAAUGUUAUUGAAUUGACAUUGUAGGGCAUGAAAUUUGAAUGGAAAGUUUAUUGGAUGAUGUAUGGAAAUGGUUUUGUAUUGAUUUGUAUGGAAAGUUAUGAAUGGAAAGAUGUAAUUGAUUGUAAGAAAUGUGUAAUUGUUUGGAUGGUUAUGGAAAUAUUUGAAUGUGUAUUAAAUGAUAUGUUAUGGAUUGUGAAUUGAAAUAAACACAGGUUUAGGUUCACCUGGAUUUAAAAGUUAGUAGUAACAUGAAAUGAAUUGGCUUGUUAAAAAUGAAAUGAACAAAAUGGCAUAGAGAAUGGAUCAAGACAUGGACCAUUGAGCAUGAGCUUGAAAAUGACUUUAGGGAAGAUGUAUGAAGACCGAAUAGUAAAUGGGCUAGUAGUGAAGAUGUAUGAAUGGUAUAGAUAAAAAAGGCUAAAUACUCUUUUUGGUUCUGUAUCUUUACCCCGGAGUUCAUUUUGGUUUCUCAACUUUAAAAAAGACCGGUUUCUUCCCUUAUCUCUUCAAGUAGUGCCACAUUAGUCCCUUAUGUUUGGUUUAUUAGUCAGAUUUAAAAAAAGGGGGGCCACUUGACAUACAUUUGGUGUUUAUGUUGAUUAAACAUUAUAAUAAAGCUAUAAUGAAAAGGGAAUAUCACAUUUCACCAGGAAAACAAAAACCCUAGCAGAGAAGGGAAUAAGAGAGAAAACAAAAUCAAAAUUAAAGAUGAAGCAUACAAGUUGAAAUCCUGGGUGAAGUCAAACAAGAGAAGAAAACACGCCUUUGAAGACACCAUUGUUGACAACAGUUAGUAAUUUGUUUUAGGAUUUUGUCUUCUAACUGUUAGCUGCUUUAGUUUUUAGGAUUUUAUCAUUUUGAAAUGUUAUAUGUAUUAGAUGUUAGGAUUAUAUGCAUUCAAUU